CGGGAUGUAGCUCAGGUGGUAGAGUGCACGUCUGGGGGGCGUGAGGUCGCAAGUUCAAGUCUUGUCAUCCCGAC
rnacentral:tRNA from 1 species